rnacentral:lncRNA from 1 species
CAAGCCCCGCCUCGACACACAUUGCAUUGAGGUCGCUGAAGAGCACCGUAUAUUGCGGGCACGGCUCGCCGUCGCUGCCCACGGUCAGUGUGCAUGGGACGUGACUGCGUGCGCCCGCCUCGUGUGCGUCGUCGAUGCUCGCAGCGUCAAACAUUGCGCGACGCGGACGGCACUCUGCCUCCUUCUCCUCGCCCUCUGCCGCGGCCGGGGUCGCAGUGCCGGUGUCGAUCUCGGCGCGGCGGGCCUUCUUCAGAUCCCACAGGCGCGCCGCAUCGGCCACGAUGCCCAGGAAGACCCCGCUGGGACGGAGCGCGCGCCGCACGUUGGCCACAAAGGCGCGCGCCGACUCGCGCGUGGCAAACGCGUGCUGGACGGCGAAUUGACACGUAAUGGCGUCGACGAUGCCCGCUCCGUCCCCGCCGUCGAGACCGCACUCUUGAUCGGGUACGGUGCGGUGGCGUUGCCCAUGGAGGCGCUGCGGGUCGUCGCGAUAAACGACGACCUGGCGGUGCGCCAGCAGGCCGUCGCGCACGCAAAAGUCGUCUUGCACAAACGCCGCCGGAAAGGCGAAUCGGGUCCGGCGCCACCUGCGCUCGGCCUCUACCAGUGGCUCGUCGGCCACGUCGACGAAAAACACGCAACGCGGUCGGGCGUGCGCCAGCUUGGCGACGUCCUGUCCACGACCGCACCCGAGAUCCAUGAUCGUGCAGUGGGGUUGCACAUAGCGCCCGAUGAGUACCGACUUGCAAAAGUUGAUUGCCCCGCGCGCGUCGCGUGACGGGUCACCGUCCGGCGGCAUACUCGACCCGCUCGCGGUCGCAGACGACAGUGACUCUGUUGCGCCAGAAGCGACCGAAGAUGACGACGUCGUUGUUGUAGCACUUGGAGCGCGUUGCGACAGCGUUGGCGUUGCGUCGACGCCCUGUCGCGCCUCGAUGGCGCGCCUAUUGUACCAGUGGCAAACACUGGCCGCCUCUGUCGACAUGGUGUCAACGGUGCGCGCCCGCGCCCCUUUAUCGGGCACGUACCGCUCCAAGACGCAUCGGCUCCUGUCGCCGUCUUCUUCGGUGGGGUUGCUCGACAGGGUGGAAUCGCUCUGCGCGUUGCCGGUGUCUCUGCGCGAGCGAUCUCGAUGUCUACGGGUGCGAUGACGAUGGCGACCGUGCGCCACGACGUCGGCAGACGAUCCGGCGCUCGACGAUCCGACACUGGAAGAAGAUGAGACGUCUUUGCCGCCCUUGUUGUUGCUGCUGCCGCUGCCAUGCGAAGGGUGUCUUGUGCGCGCGGGUGCGACGGCUCGGACCCGACCGCCUUCACUCGACCCCGAGCCAGAGAGGCUGUGCCGACCGGGCGGUCGCGUGCUCGGCGCGCAUCUCCAGCAUUUGGCGGCGGCGCCCCGGCACGUGGCGCACUCUUUGGUAGCGCCGUCGGCCGGCGUUGCGUCCGAUCGCCUCUCGCACGCCAUCAACAAAGCGCGCGCAGCCGCGUAGGAGGACGACGGCAACGGGACAGGAAAAAAAAGACCAACGACCCUUCAAUCUCUCUAGGGGAGAGAGGGAACACACAGGGGACGGUGACGGUGCGGCAGAUGGAGGCGGUGGGAAAAAAGAAAAGGACGGUCUCU